CUGUGAUGGAGAGGAAAGGUCGUGGCUGAAGGACCUGUGUGAUGCUGUGGAGGAGGCGGGGCCAAGCUGGAGGAGAGGUCACAUUUCACUCUAGUAAGGAAAUUAACAUGGGAAACCCCGAAGGUUAAAGAAGAGUAUCAACUUAAAGCAUUAUGGCACUCCGACUGACCUCCGUUAAUUGCAAAGGCUUGAAUUCCCCAAUCAAAAGAAACAAGUAACAAGAAGAUAUGCCGCAUAUGAACAAAGAAGGAAAAUUCAUAUUUAAGUGAAUCAUCUCUUAGUGAAGUAAGAUGCCACAAAUGUGGGUGAAGUGGAUUGAGAAUUACUACAUCUGAGUGCCAAGAUUUUCUAAACCAACAACAUUCUUAAUUGUCUUCUGCCUGUUUGGCAAGAGAAUUAAAAGCAUUUAGAACAAAUUGUAUGUGAUUCCUAAACACACGCCUGACCAGUUCAGAUCGUUGUAUUAUCCAGCAAUCUGCAGAAAACAAGCACCUAACAUAAUUUGCCAAAGUAAAUGUAUUAACAUUACAGUUACAGUAAGUACGUCACUAUAUUUAUAUUGUGUUGAAGCAUUCCCUGGUAUUAUGUUUUACUGCUUAUGUGUUUGUACGAUUGUAUUAGAAAUGUAAACGUUUGUUUUAUCUGGACAUCCCCUUCUUUGA